rnacentral:rRNA from 1 species
UACGUAGGGCGCAAGCGUUGUUCGGAAUUACUGGGCGUAAAGGGCGCGUAGGCGGCCUUCUAAGUCAGACGUGAAAUCCCCCGGCUUAACCUGGGAACUGCGUCUGAUACUGGAGGGCUUGAGUAUGGGAGAGGGAUGUAGAAUUCCAGGUGUAGCGGUGAAAUGCGUAGAUAUCUGGAGGAAUACCGGUGGCGAAGGCGGCAUCCUGGACCAUUACUGACGCUGAGGCGCGAAAGCUAGGGGAGCAAACGGG